GGGCGCAUAGCUCAGCUGGUCAGAGCGCUUCCCUUACAAGGAAGAUGCCGGGGGUUCGAGUCCCUCUGCGCCCA
rnacentral:tRNA from 1 species